rnacentral:rRNA from 1 species
AUACGUAGGGGGCGAGCGUUGUCCGGAAUGAUUGGGCGUAAAGGGCGCGUAGGCGGCCCGGUAAGUCUGGAGUGAAAGUCCUGUUUUUAAGAUGGGAAUUGCUUUGGAUACUGUCGGGCUUGAGUGCAGGAGAGGUAAGUGGAAUUCCCAGUGUAGCGGUGAAAUGCGUAGAGAUUGGGAGGAACACCAGUGGCGAAGGCGACUUACUGGACUGUAACUGACGCUGAGGCGCGAAAGUGUGGGGAGCAAACAGGAUUAGAUACCCUGGUAGUCCACACUGUAAACGAUGAAUGCUAGGUGUAGGGGGUAUCGACCCCUUCUGUGCCGCAGUCAACACAAUAAGCAUACCGCCUGGGGAGUACGGCCGCAAGGUUGAAACUCAAAUGAAUUGACGGGG